CGCCUUGCCAGCCCGCUCAGAACUCAAAGGAAUUGACGGGGGCCCGCACAAGCGGUGGAGCAUGUGGUUUAAUUCGAUGAUACGCGAGGAACCUUACCUGGGCUCAAAUGUAUGUUGACGUAUUCUGAAAGGGAUACUUCUUCGGACAAUAUACAAGGUGCUGCAUGGUUGUCGUCAGCUCGUGCCGUGAGGUGUCGGGUUAAGUCCCAUAACGAGCGCAACCCCUAUCAUUAGUUGCCAUCAGGUCAAGCUGGGGACUCUAAUGAAACUGCCUACGCAAGUAGUGAGGAAGGUGGGGAUGACGUCAAAUCAGCACGGCCCUUACGUCCAGGGCUACACACGUGCUACAAUGGUCGGUACAAAGGGUUGCCAAGCCGCGAGGUGGAGCUAAUCCCAUAAAACCGAUCGUAGUCCGGAUCGCAGUCUGCAACUCGACUGCGUGAAGUCGGAAUCGCUAGUAAUCGUGAAUCAGAAUGUCACGGUGAAUACGUUCCCGGGCCUU
rnacentral:rRNA from 1 species